rnacentral:misc_RNA from 1 species
AAGUCGUAACAAGGUUUCCGUAGGUGAACCUGCGGAAGGAUCAUUAAUAAAAGGAUACCCUCGGGUAUACCCCAUCCGUGUCUAUAUACUCUUGUUGCUUUGGCAGGCCGUGGUCUCCCACUGUGGGCUCUGCCUGCAUGUGCCUGCCAGAGGACCAAACUCUGAAUUUUAGUGAUGUCUGAGUACUAUAUAAUAGUUAAAACUUUCAACAACGGAUCUCUUGGUUCUG